rnacentral:rRNA from 1 species
GAGGAAUAUUGGUCAAUGGACGAAAGUCUGAACCAGCCAUGCCGCGUGAAGGAUGACGGCCCUACGGGUUGUAAACUUCUUUUGUAUAGGAAGAAACCCCUCUACGUGUAGAGGGCUGACGGUACUAUACGAAUAAGCACCGGCUAACUCCGUGCCAGCAGCCGCGGUAAUACGGAGGGUGCAAGCGUUAUCCGGAAUUAUUGGGUUUAAAGGGUGCGUAGGCGGAAAUUUAAGUCAGUGGUGAAAGCCUGCAGCUCAACUGUAGAAUUGCCAUUGAUACUGAAUUUCUUGAAUCUAAUUGAAGUGGGCGGAAUAUGACAUGUAGCGGUGAAAUGCUUAGAUAUGUCAUAGAACACCGAUAGCGAAGGCAGCUCACUAAGUUAGUAUUGACGCUCAUGCACGAAAGCGUGGGGAGCGAACAGG